ACGGAUAUGAUGAAAUUGGCAGACAUGCUAGGUUUAGGUUCUAGUGAGGAAACUCUUGAGGGUUCAAGUCCCUCUAUCCGUA
rnacentral:tRNA from 1 species